rnacentral:rRNA from 1 species
AUUGAACGCUGGCGGCAUGCCUUACACAUGCAAGUCGAACGGUAACAGGUCUUCGGAUGCUGACGAGUGGCGAACGGGUGAGUAAUACAUCGGAACGUGCCUAGUAGUGGGGGAUACCUACUCGAAAGAGUGGCUAAUACUGCAUGAGACCUACGGCUGAAAGCAGGGGAUCGCAAGACCUUGUGAUAAUAAAGCGGCAGAUGGCAGAUUAGGUAGUUGGUGGGAUAAAAGCUUACCAAGCCGACGAUCUGUAGCUGGUCUGAGAGGACGAUCAGCCACACUGGGACUGAGACACGGCCCAGACUCCUACGGGAGGCAGCAGUGGGGAAUUGUGGACAAUGGGCGCAAGCCUGAUCCAGCAAUGCCGCGUGCAGGAUGAAGGCCUUCGGGUUGUAAACUGCUUUUGUACGGAACGAAAAGCCCUGGGUUAAUACCCUGGGGUCAUGACGGUACCGUAAGAAUAAGCACCGGCUAACUACGUGCCAGCCGCCGCGGUAACAC